CCAGGUUGAUUCUGCCUGACGUAGACGCUAUUCCCUAAGAUUAACCCAUGCAUGUUUUUGACAUUUGAAAAAUGGACUGCUCAGUAAUACUCACUUUAUUUUAUGUAUAUUUGAAAUUAACUACGUUAAAGUGUAGAUAAGAUGUGUACAGUAAGAGUGAGACUUAUCAGCUAGUUGUUAAGGUAAUGGCUUAACAAGGCAUUUACGGGUAACGGUAUUACUUUGUAAUAUUCCGGAGAAGGAGCCUGAGAGACGGCUACUAAGUCUAAGGAUUGCAGCAGGGGCGAAACUUGACCUAUGGAUUUUAUCUGAGGCAGUUAUGGGAAGUAAUAUAUUAUUGUUUCAUAUUGUAAAAGUAUAUGAGGUGAUUAAUUGGAGGGCAAAUCAAGUGCCAGCAGCCGCGGUAAUACUUGUUCCAAGAGUGUGUAUGAUGAUUGAUGCAGUUAAAAAGUCCGUAGUUUAUAAUUAAGAAGCAAUAUGAGGUGUACUGUAUAGUUGGGAGAAAGAUGAAAUGUGACGACCCUGACUGGACGAACA
rnacentral:rRNA from 1 species